GAGUUUGUCUUUAGAGGAUGAUUAUGUAUAACCCCAUCAGAGCUUCUCAAUGCUCUAGACUUCUUUAGUAUCAGAGUCUAGAUUUAGUAGUCUUUUAUCGGAGCUUCUGACUUCUUAAUGUUACAAUGGUAUCUGUGUUGAUUAGAAUCAGAACCUUUUGGACGCAUCCUUUCUGAGUGGCAUCUGAUCAUUGAAUAUUUUAUAUCUGAUGUAAUUUUCUAUCUGAUGUAUGGUCAGAGUCUUGCAUAAAUGGUCA
rnacentral:lncRNA from 1 species